rnacentral:misc_RNA from 1 species
UACGAAGGGGGCAAGCGUUGCCCGGAUUUAUUGGGCGUAAAGUGUUUCGUAGGCGUUCUUGUAAGUUACUUUUCAAAGCCCGGGGCUUAACUCCGGAAGGGGAAGUAAUACUGCAAGAAUUGAAGAGUAGUGGGGCAACUGGAAUUGUCAGUGUAGGGGUGAAAUCCGUUGAUAUUGACAAGAACUCCGAAGGCGAAGGCGGGUUGCUAACUACUUCUUGACGCUGAUGAACGAAAGCUAGGGGAGCGAAAGGG